AGGUAAACUUCAAGCGGUAUUCAUAUACACCGCUCAUCACUUGAAGCCUUCAUUCAGCCGGUGUUCAUCUACACCGGAGAAGACUUGACCGGUAUUCAUCAAGCGGUAUUCAUCUAUACCGGUCACCACUUGACCGGAUUAGGGUUCUAACUCAAUUCAGCAGUGUUAAGCAAGCAGCAGCAGGUUUGAGCAGUUAACAGUAGGUCUUGCUGUUGUGUAUGGAAAGAAGACAGCAACAAUCGGACAUAGACAGCAACCAUUAUUUGACAGUAGCUGUUCAUAAACUCAAGUGCAGACUGGAAUAGAAGCAGUUUGAACAGCACCUGGUUACUGUUUUUUUGAUAGCAACUACAACAGCAGUGUGCAAAACUACAACAGUCUUUGGGACUGUUUCUGGUUUGAAACAACAGAACUUCAAGCAAGAACAAAACAGCAAGUUUAACAGCAGCAGGUAGUGCAACAUGGACAGCAACUAUUCUGAAAUGCUUCACAUUGAGCAGAUCUGACUUUAUGAUUAGUCUUGGUCAGCUAGUUCAUUGGGUGUUGUUUUUGCUAGUCUGAUUUGGACAGGUUCAUUCACAGCAGCAAUUUUUUUUUGAAACAAGUUGUUGUUAACAACUGUUGGUGUGAAUUAGACAAGAAGCAACAGUCGUGUUGGUGUACAAUCUGCAAUCAACAACAAAGCAGAAGCAAGAACAAAACAGCAGCUAGCAUUUGUUUUACAUAUAGAAGCUUUUGUGACUGUUUUGUAUAGAAGAUUGAACUCAGCAGUUCUUGACAGCAGUUGACAGCACACUAUUUAAGAAGCUUUGAAACAGAAACUACAAAGUGCAUGGUCCGCAGAAUAUCCAGUUUAGAGCUGUGAGAAGUGGAUCCAUACUAGAAGCUUUCAAGUGGAUUUCUGGAUAAUCUUACGAGGGCAGAUAGUAUAUUGUUUUUGUGUAAUAUAUGUAUUGUAAAGUGGUGAUACUGUGUGAUUUGGACUUAGACUCAUUUUUUUUUUGACUUGGUUUAUUGUUUUUAGACUGUUUUUAGGUUCUUAGUUU